rnacentral:rRNA from 1 species
UACGAAGGGGGCUAGCGUUGUUCGGAAUUACUGGGCGUAAAGCGCACGUAGGCGGACUCUUAAGUCAGGGGUGAAAUCCCGGGGCUCAACCUCGGAACUGCCUUUGAUACUGUGAGUCUCGAGACCGGCAGAGGUGAGUGGAAUUCCUAGUGUAGAGGUGCAAUUCGUAGAUAUUAGGAAGAACACCAGUGGCGAAGGCGUCUCACUGGUCCGGUUCUGACGCUGAGGUGCUAAAGCGUGGGGAGCAAACAGG